rnacentral:rRNA from 1 species
GUCGAACGCACUCUCGUUUAGAUUGAAGGAGCUUGCUCCUGAUUGAUAAACAUUUGAGUGAGUGGCGGACGGGUGAGUUACACGUGGGUAACCUGCCCUAAAGUGGGGGAUAACAUUUGGAAACAGAUGCUAAUACCGCAUAAAACCUAACACCGCAUGGUGUAGGGUUGAAAGAUGGUUUCGGCUAUCACUUUAGGAUGGACCCGCGGUGCAUUAGUUAGUUGGUGAGGUAAAGGCUCACCAAGACCGUGAUGCAUAGCCGACCUGAGAGGGUAAUCGGCCACACUGGGACUGAGACACGGCCCAGACUCCUACGGGAGGCAGCAGUAGGGAAUCUUCCACAAUGGACGAAAGUCUGAUGGAGCAACGCCGCGUGAGUGAAGAAGGUUUUCGGAUCGUAAAACUCUGUUGUUGGAGAAGAAUGUAUCUGAUAGUAACUGAUCAGGUAGUGACGGUAUCCAACCAGAAAGCCACGGCUAACUACGUGCCAGCAGCCGCGGUAAUACGUAGGUGGCAAGCGUUGUCCGGAUUUAUUGGGCGUAAAGCGAGCGCAGGCGGUUUCUUAAGUCUGAUGUGAAAGCCUUCGGCUCAACCGAAGAAGUGCAUCGGAAACUGGGAAACUUGAGUGCAGAAGAGGACAGUGGAACUCCAUGUGUAGCGGUGAAAUGCGUAGAUAUAUGGAAGAACACCAGUGGCGAAGGCGGCUGUCUGGUCUGUAACUGACGCUGAGGCUCGAAAGCAUGGGUAGCAAACAGGAUUAGAUACCCUGGUAGUCCAUGCCGUAAACGAUGAGUGGUAGGUGUUGGAGGGUUUCCGCCCUUCAGUGCCGCAGCUAACGCAUUAAGCACUCCGCCUGGGGAGUACGACCGCAAGGUUGAAACUCAAAGGAAUUGACGGGGGCCCGCACAAGCGGUGGAGCAUGUGGUUUAAUUCGAAGCAACGCGAAGAACCUUACCAGGUCUUGACAUCCUUUGACCACUCUAGAGAUAGAGCUUUCCCUUCGGGGACAAAGUGACAGGUGGUGCAUGGUUGUCGUCAGCUCGUGUCGUGAGAUGUUGGGUUAAGUCCCGCAACGAGCGCAACCCUUAUUACUAGUUGCCAGCAUUUAGUUGGGCACUCUAGUGAGACUGCCGGUGACAAACCGGAGGAAGGUGGGGACGACGUCAAAUCAUCAUGCCCCUUAUGACCUGGGCUACACACGUGCUACAAUGGAUGGUACAACGAGUUGCGAGACCGCGAGGUUUAGCUAAUCUCUUAAAACCAUUCUCAGUUCGGAUUGUAGGCUGCAACUCGCCUACAUGAAGCCGGAAUCGCUAGUAAUCGCGGAUCAGCAUGCCGCGGUGAAUACGUUCCCGGGCCUUGUACACACCGA